AUUGAACGCUGGCGGCAGGCUUAACACAUGCAAGUCGAGCGCGCGGCGGACGGGUGAGUAAUGUCUGGGAAUCUGCCUGAUGGAGGGGGAUAACGACUGGAAACGGUAGCUAAUACCGCAUACCAUCAGAUGCGCCCGGAUUGGAUUAGCUAGUAGGUGGGGUAAUGGCUCCCCUAGGCGACGAUCCCUAGCUGGUCUGAGAGGAUGACCAGCCACACGGGAAUGGAGACACGUUCCAGACUCCUACGGGAGGCAGCAGUGGGGAAGUUUGCACAAGGGGCGCAAGCCUGAUGCAGCCAUGCCGCGUGUGUGAAGAAGGCCUUCGGGUUGUAAAGCACUUUCAGCGAGGAGGCGUUACUCGCAGAAGAAGCACCGGCUAACUCCGUGCCAGCCGCCGCGGUAAUUC
rnacentral:rRNA from 1 species